UACGGAGGGGGCAAGCGUUUGUUCGGAAUUACUGGGCGUAAAGGGCGCGCAGGCGGCUGCUCAAGUCAGGCGUGAAAGGCCUGGGCUCAACCCGGGAAUUGCGCUUGAGACUGGGCUGGCUUGAGUGCGGGAGAGGAUGGUGGAAUUCCCAGUGUAGAGGUGAAAUUCGUAGAUAUCGGAAGGAACAUCAGUGGCGAAAGCGGCUUCCUGGACCAGAACUGACGAUCAGGCUCGAAAGCGUGGGAGCAAACAGG
rnacentral:rRNA from 1 species